CAAGAUAUAGCUUAAACAAAGCAUCUAGUUUACACCUAGAAGAUUCCACAGUCCGUGUAUAUCUUGA
rnacentral:tRNA from 2 species